UCGGGACAUUGGUUGGCGCGCCAUAUCGGCCCCGAUUCGUUCGUCAUUCGUAGCGGAGGGAGCUGCGGCGCAAAAAAAUUUCCCCAGAAGCGAAGCCGUGGGAGCGUUCGCUGCAUUUCUCAGCACGUUCGAAUCAGACGGACUCGAGUGCCCGAGGCGUUGGAAAACCUCCGCACCCCGCGGGAACCAUAUAAGGACCACGGCGUGCCGGACGAAGGGACACCUGUAUCAUGAAGCUUUUUCCGACACUGUCCGGACUGUUGCUGUUGCUGAUAACGAGCAGCGUUGCGUUCAAGACGAAGAAGCUCCUGGCACUAACCGCACUGAGCCACGCGGGUUUGGGCGGCCUCGGAGGGCUCGGCCUUCUAGGGCUAGCCGGUCUCCAUCACCAUGGACACUACGGUGGACACUAUGGCCACGGAGGACACUACGGUCACGGCGGAUACUAUGGUCAUGGUUACGGCCAUGGCUACGGCCACGGUUACGGCUACGGCUAUGGAUGGCCUUCUUACGGAUACGGCUACGGAUACGGAUGGCCAGGUUACGGAGGCUACGGUGGUUACGGAUGGUGGUGAAAGCUGUGCUCUGUGAAUGUUCGACGACUGUGGAAGAUCGAAAAAGCGAAGUCGUCUGUAAAUAGCAAAACUUCUCUAUCGCUCAAUAAAACAGGCGAACGAAGCCGACAAGCUUUGAAAUGUUUGAAUGACGGCUACGA